AUUGAACGCUGGCGGCAGGCCUAACACAUGCAAGUCGAGCGGAUGAAGGGAGCUUGCUCCUGGAUUCAGCGGCGGACGGGUGAGUAAUGCCUAGGAAUCUGCCUGGUAGUGGGGGAUAACGUCCGGAAACGGGCGCUAAUACCGCAUACGUCCUGAGGGAGAAAGUGGGGGAUCUUCGGACCUCACGCUAUCAGAUGAGCCUAGGUCGGAUUAGCUAGUUGGUGGGGUAAAGGCCUACCAAGGCGACGAUCCGUAACUGGUCUGAGAGGAUGAUCAGUCACACUGGAACUGAGACACGGUCCAGACUCCUACGGGAGGCAGCAGUGGGGAAUAUUGGACAAUGGGCGAAAGCCUGAUCCAGCCAUGCCGCGUGUGUGAAGAAGGUCUUCGGAUUGUAAAGCACUUUAAGUCGGGAGGAAGGGCAGUAAGUUAAUACCGUGCUGUUUUGACGUGACCAACAGAAUAAGCACCGGCUAACUUCG
rnacentral:rRNA from 1 species